CACCGCCCGUCACACCAUGAGAGCUGGCUCAACCAGAAGUCGAUCUUGCUAACCCGCAAGGGGGGCAGACGCCGAAGGUGGGGCCGGUGAUUGGGGGUG
rnacentral:rRNA from 1 species